GCAUUUGUGGUUUAGUGGUAAAAUUAGCCGUUGCCAUUCAGUUCAGCGUCGGCUAGCCCCGGGUUCGAUUCCCGGCGAAUGCA